CGAGUGAAGCGGCAACAGCUCAAAUUUGAAAUCUGGCCCUAGGCCCGAGUUGUAAUUUGCAGAGGAUGCUUCUGGCGCGGUGCCUUCCAAGUCCCCUGGAACGGGGCGCCAUAGAGGGUGAGAGCCCCGUCUGGUUGGCCGCCAAGCCUGUGUGAAGCUCCUUCGACGAGUCGAGUAGUUUGGGAAUGCUGCUCUAAAUGGGAGGUAGACCCCUUCUAAAGCUAAAUACCGGCCAGAGACCGAUAGCGCACAAGUAGAGUGAUCGAAAGAUGAAAAGCACUUUGAAAAGAGGGUUAAACAGUACGUGAAAUUGUUGAAAGGGAAGCGCUUGUGACCAGACGUGCGUCGGGGUGUUCAGCGGGCGUUCUCGCCCGUGCACUCGCCCCGGCGCAGGCCAGCGUCGGUUCGGGCGGGGGGACAAAGGCGUUGGGAACGUAGCUCCUCCGGGAGUGUUAUAUCCCAGCGUGUCAUGCCCCCGCCUGGACCGAGGUUCGCGCUCCGCAAGGACGCUGGCGUAAUGGUCCCCAGCGGCCCGUCUUGAAACACGGACCAAGGAGUCGAGGUUUUGCGCGAGUGUUUGGGUGUCAAACCCGCACGCGUAAUGAAAGUGAACGCAGGUGGGAGCUUCGGCGCACCACCGACCGAUCCUGAUGUUCUCGGAUGGAUUUGAGUAAGAGCGUAGGGCCUCGGACCCGAAAGAUGGUGAACUAUACGUGAAUAGGGUGAAGCCAGAGGAAACUCUGGUGGAGGCUCGCAGCGGUUCUGACGUGCAAAUCGAUCGUCAAAUUUGCGUAUGGGGGCGAAAGACUAAUCGAACCAAUCUA
rnacentral:rRNA from 1 species